rnacentral:rRNA from 1 species
UGGGGAAUUGUUCGCAAUGGGCGCAAGCCUGACGACGCAACGCCGCGUGGAGGAUGAAGGUCUUCGGAUUGUAAACUCCUGUUGAUCGGGACGAAAAGCUUCAACCUAAUACGUUGAAGACUGACGGUACCGGUUGAGGAAGCCACGGCUAACUCUGUGCCAGCAGCCGCGGUAAUACAGAGGUGGCAAGCGUUGUUCGGAAUUACUGGGCGUAAAGGGCGCGUAGGCGGCCUCCUAAGUCGGACGUGAAAGCCCCAGGCUUAACCUGGGAACUGCGUCCGAUACUGGGAGGCUUGGAUUCGGGAGAGGGAUGUGGAAUUCCAGGUGUAGCGGUGAAAUGCGUAGAUAUCUGGAGGAACACCGGUGGCGAAGGCGGCAUCCUGGACCGAGAUCGACGCUGAGGCGCGAAAGCGUGGGGAGCAAACAGGAUUAGAUACCCCCGUAGUCCCUGAGCGGGCUGGCAAGGCGCAU